rnacentral:rRNA from 1 species
CAGAUGCGAUCAUACCAGCACUACA